rnacentral:rRNA from 1 species
UGUGACCUCAAAUCAGGUAGGACUACCCGCUGAACUUAAGCAUAUCAAUAAGCGGAGGAAAAGAAACUAACAAGGAUUCCCCUAGUAACUGCGAGUGAAGCGGGAAAAGCUCAAAUUUAAAAUCUGUCAGUCUUUGGCUGUCCGAGUUGUAAUCUAGAGAAGUGUUAUCCGCGCUGGACCGUGUACAAGUCUCCUGGAAUGGAGCGUCAUAGAGGGUGAGAAUCCCGUCUUUGACACGGACUGCCAGGGCUUUUGUGAUGCGCUCUCAAAGAGUCGAGUUGUUUGGGAAUGCAGCUCAAAAUGGGUGGUAAAUUCCAUCUAAAGCUAAAUAUUGGCGAGAGACCGAUAGCGAACAAGUACCGUGAGGGAAAGAUGAAAAGAACUUUGGAAAGAGAGUUAAACAGUACGUGAAAUUGCUGAAAGGGAAACGCUUGAAGUCAGUCGCGUCAUCCAGG